UACGUAGGUCCCGAGCGUUGUCCGGAUUUAUUGGGCGUAAAGCGAGCGCAGGUGGUUUAUUAAGUCUGGUGUAAAAGGCAGUGGCUCAGCCAUUGUAUGCAUUGGGAAACUGGUAGACUUGAGUGCAGGAGAGGAGAGUGGAAUUCCAUGUGUAGCGGUGAAAUGCGUAGAUAUAUGGAGGAACACCGGUGGCGAAAGCGGCUCUCUGGCCUGUAACUGACACUGAGGCUCGAAAGCGUGGGGAGCAAACAGG
rnacentral:rRNA from 1 species